AGAUGUGAGGUGAGCUGGCUGAUCUGGCUGGCUGGGGGGGAGGAGGGGGUCCCCAUCCUCCCUCACCACUCCAUGUGCACCUGUCCUGAAGCUGUGUGCUCAAAGAGGAUGACCUUCCCCCAAUAGAGGAGGGCUGGUCUUUGUUCAAGGGUAUAUGAGUAGCUGCACUUACAGAUGCUAGCCCCAUACUACUAUACCCAGCAAAAUUUCCAAUCACAAUAGAGGCAGAAAAUAAGAGAUUCAAAAAAAAAAUUCAGCUAUUU
ensembl:misc_RNA 7SK 7SK RNA